CAAAAGCCAAGAACUUCAACCUCGAACGUCUUCGAAGCCUUAAAAUUAGGAGGUUUUUUGAGUCUCACUUGUGACUUUGACUAAAUAUAACAACUACUAUAGUCAAAGGUCAUGAAUUAUAUUCGUGUGAUUUAUAGAUUACGAGUUCAUAAUGUCAAAAUAGCUAUUAAUGUAUGUAAUAGGGUAGCUUUUCCACAUCAAUCCUUUGAGUGUGGCCCUAUCCUAGACCAUGGGGAAACAUAGAAUAUCUUAUGCACGGGGCUACUCUUUACUCUUAUAGUUAGAGGCGGAGCUAGAGCAAUAAGUACAUGUUUGGAUAAAUCUAGUAGUUUUUACUUAUACCUUGUAUUUAUAAAAUUCACUAAAUAUGUAUUACUUCUGCAAGUGCAGAAGGGAUUUAGGGGAAAGCCAAGACAGGCCGAUGGUCAUACCCAACAAUUGGAAGUGCUGGCACACCCUGUCCAGCCUGUUAUCCACAUUGUUUGGGAGUUAGGACCCUUUAAAGGAUCAAGCACAUACGUGAACAAUAAUUUGGAUGCUCCAUGCCUGAACCUUAACUCAAACACAUAGAGGGUAAUUUGGGUAUAGGGAUUCAUGGCAGAAAACAGAUGCAAAGAGAACAACAUAUAUAUUUAACACUGAGCAUAGACAGCAAAGUAGAUAAGAUUGUAGAAGCUUUAAUAUAAACACAUCGGGAUGAGGCUGAAAACUAAAUUAGAACAUACCAGUUUCUGGGAAACAAGAAAAGAAAAGCAGUAGUCUUGUAAAACCAAAUUACAAGCAAAUAGUCAGAAUAUCCCAAAAGAGAGUAGAGUGUUGAGUGAGUAUUGAACUCAAGUUGUCUUAAAAGUGUAGAAGGGCCGUGCCCUUUAUAGAGUAGAAAGAAAGUAAGAAAAAUGUAAGAAAAAUAGUUUUGGAAUCAAUUACAUAAGGUCUCCCUUUAAUUAAGGAAUUCUAAUUUCAAACGGGCAGAAUAAAAAGAAUUUGUUCAAAAUCGUUUCCAAAGGAGUACAAGAAAGGCAAAUACAUAGAAACUAUUAAAAGAAAGAGUUUGAUAACAACAUGGUUUAUGCAAAUAAGGAAAGACAAUCAAUGAACAACCAGUAAAAUCAGAAAUUGAGUUUUGGUAUGAAUGAAUCCAACAAGAAAAGGUGAAGAAAUGUUUAAUUAAAAAAAUCAGUAACAAUCAAUCGAACCUUAUUAAGAGGAAUUCUGAGCAAUCACAAUUUGGCAAAACCUUUUUUGAUGGGAAGAUUCCUAAUAUAUAAAGCAUAUAGACAUGUCAAACAAGAAAGAAUUGUCAUGCUAAUUAGAAAAGUGUCUACAAUAGAGAAGCUCAGAGCCAUGAAAAAGAGCUCAAAUUCAAUACAUAGACUCAAGCUUAGUUUGAGAGAAUCCAGGUUCCAAAAUGGAACCCCUGUCCACACACAAGAUCAAACUCGCGAAAAAACCCCAAACCCUAGGGUUUCCAACUUGAAUCAGACACAUAGAUGAGGAGGCAAGCAAUUGAAUCAGGCUCGGAGGUCUCUUUCAGAGACUUAUGAGAAAACAAAUAGAUGUAAUAGCAGGUUUGAAACGACAAAGUGAGAAAGCUGAUUUGAAGCAUAAAGAACAUGUUUUAAGAAAAGCUUGGAACUUAAGCAAGUUAAGAAGAGAAAAGAGGUGAUAUAAACUUAAGAAACAGUAGAUGAAACAUGUUUAGAACUCAAACAAAGGUCCAGUAAAGAAAAACUAAGGACUAAAAGCUUAAUAGAAAAAUACAGUAAAGGAACACAUAAGAUAGACGUGUGAAAACAUGAUAUAGAAAUCCGUAGGAGAAAGAACGGAGCACAAUAAAAGAACAUGCAUAAUACGGCAAACAUAAGAACACAGGAGAAGAACAUGCGAGGUAGAAAAGAGAACAUAAGAACAUAGCAUCAGAUUCACACAAAGAAAAGAAGAAGAGCUAGAAAACAUUUUAAAACUUUUUCAAAAACCCUAAAUCGAAGAGAAACAAAUUUUGAAAGAAAAGAUUGGGGAAAACGUUUAAAAACUCUUGUAGAACACAUAUAUAACAUAGAUCUAAGAAAACAACCAGAGAAAAACCUCGAAUAGCCCUGGAAGAAAGUCCGAUCUUGAGUGUGAUGAGUUAAAAUCAAGCCCCUGAUGCUUUAGAUGUUCCAGAGCAAGACCGGAAAGGCCUAAAAAUGAUGGAUCUGAGAAAAUCUAAAAGAAAAACAUCAAGGUCAGACCUCGAAACUUCAAACACCCAGGGUUUAAUAGUGAAGGGAGGUGAAUACAGGCCAUCCAUGGCUUGAGAAGCCAUGGAUUCUGGUGAGGUUAGGGUCAGAGAGGAUGAGAAAGGAUAGGGAUCCAGGGAACCUUCGAGAGAGUUUGAGAGAGGAGAGUAUUCAAAGGCGGC
rnacentral:lncRNA from 1 species